GCCCGCCGUUAGCUCCUGGACUUUUCUUCAGUAUUUUGCAGAACCUGGAGGUUGAAAAGACAUGCGAGUGUCUGGGAGAAAAAGAGAGGCGAGUGCGGCAGCGUUCACUACUCCUCCCUCCCCCACCCCGCUCUACCCCUCCCUCCCUUUUUCCCACCAAAUAGGCAGUGAUGCCACAGGAAUUCAGGAAUUCACUUUGGGGCGAUGCGUUGUCUCGGUCGAGAGGUCUCCAGAGGACAAAGAGGACUGGGCCAAACUGAAAUGCUCCGAGAAUUCGCAAGUUUAGUUGUAACGAAACAGCAAACCUUGCGGUGGGAGCAGGAAGCCGGUGGGGGGAAGCGAUCUUCUCAUUUUUCCCAAGUACCCAUCUCUGCAUGCCUCCCUCUUCCCCUUUCCAGUUGCCAAAGCAGCUGAGUGGGAAGCAAAUCUGGAGCAGCAGGAACAGGACCAGGGAUCUGUAGAAGAGAUCUUCACAGUUCACUCGAAAAAAAUAGCAGAGGGGAAGAAAAAAGCCCUGAAACCAUUUACAUCAUUUCUGUGAGAUUGCCAACCGCCUCAACGGAGAGGCUUUCUUUUCUAAGAGUUCAUUUUCUUGAAAUACGACAAGGCAGGGGCAAAAUAAAGAGGGCGAUGAAGAUAAUGACAAAGCAUAAACCUUCUUUCCCUUGGAGCGACUUCCGAAUCAGCCGGAAGGACAACUUUUAGAAAGAAACAUCGGAUACAAGGGCCCCGAACACGCAGGCGGAGGAGAAUCCGCGGUGCAGAAAAAGAGGGCCUCGGUGGCCGGGCAGGGAUGAAGCCGGACCCGGGAGGGCUGCGAUCCCGGAGCUUCUGGCCAGGGGAGGAAAGCACCCCCUUGCUCCAGUUUGCAGAGGUUUAUUUUCCCUCUCGGGGUGGUUACUUUGCCGGCUAUUGCUCGCGAAAUUGCUUGGCGCUCACCCUUAGCGCGCAGAAGAGGCGGUGGGGUCCGCGGAGACCUUACAGCCCGCGAGCCGAGCCGAGAGCCGACCCCGAUCCCAGCGCCUAGCUGCUGAGGUGGGAGAGGUUGUCCAUGCCCCAGGAGACCACACGUCUCCCUCUCGCCCUUUUACUGGACAGUUUGGAAGCGGCACAUUCGGGGAGAGCUGGUUUCUUACCCUUAAUCUUUGUGAGCAAGUGGACAGUCUAGGGGCCCCAUCCAGGAAAUGGGAAUAUUUAUCCCAUGGCCCAUUUCUUGGAUAAUAGUUCUGCAAAUAAUUAGAUGAGGGCGCUUUAGCUUCUGCGUGUCUGAGGCUCGCGGGCAACUGGAACUGAGAGUCUGAGUUGGCCUCGCGGGAGCCGCCAGAAGGGUGCGGGCUGCGUGUGGCAGAGUAGGAGCACUGUCUGGUGGCUUGGCAGGAAGGGACUGAGAAGUGCCUGGAGGUUGGGGACUACUAUCAGGAGAUCCAUCUUCGCCAUCGCAAGGGACUUGAUUUAAUUUUAUUAACCCAAAGGAAAUAGACUGCGCCAGGGCACCUUGGAAUCACUUAUUUGUUCACCAGCUUCACAAGGGGAAGGGACGAACAGGAAGAAGUAUGUGAGCCGAGCCCCCUGGGAAAGAGGGAAGCUCCACGGGAUUCCUUAGGAAUAACCCUCUUUUGGGGAAGGCGGUGACCCUCACCCCACCUUUAAGGUGUACUUCUCCCAAGUUUGCCAGACGAAAGCUGUGACUUCGGGCUGGCUUUUCUUAAUUUUACAGAAGGGUAUAUAUUUUUUUCUUUUACCAGUUUUGAGGUUUUGUGCCAACCCUCCAGGCAACCCCUCACUUCUUAUCCCACAUUUCAUUUUUCUUUUGCAUUUGACCGGGAAAUCGAGAAAGUACAGUGGCAGCCCUUGGCCUUGGGCCUGUCUGGGUGGUUUUGCAGCUUGCUACUGGUGGUUUGCAGCUAGUAGAUUGGGACAUGAGGUCUUGGACAAAGGCUCGGGUCUUGCCGGGAAUCCAUAGACGUCUACUCAGCUUUCUCUAGAGUUGCAUUUUGUGGGGCAAAUAUGGAGAAAAAAAUCAUGUAGAAGAUGAUGUCCAAGGGCUGGUUUUGUAGCUAACUGUUUCGUGCUGGAUUUAGGCAAAGUGCCCCCAGGGAAUUCUGAGGCUCAUGCCGGAAAUAUCUGGAGUUCAGUGUGGGACUUCUGCACAUAUGGGGAUCUCACUCCUCGCUCUGCCCCUACUGAUUUUCCUCUCUAGAGUAGAGGACAGGUGGAAUCCUGGUCACACCCUGCUCACAUUUGCCAGAGGAGAGCAGUGCUUAGAAGUCAAUACUUUCCUACCUCUGGGUUCCAAUCUUAUCUUUUCUUUGACUUUUCCUAAGUCAAAUGUCUUUUUUAAAAUGUUGUGUUUUUGUUUUUUUCUCACACAAUUUCACAUAAUCAGCUAUUUUAAGAAUGCGGUAAUUGAAUCCAUCUGAAUUCCUUGAUAAAGACAUUUGUGCUGCAUCUGAGAGUCACAGACUGGAAGACAAUGAGGUCCCCAGUCUUUUGUGUGAUUUGGACUUUGGAAGAGAUCUUGGUUUCCCUUUCCUGUGUCUCAAAGCCGAGUGUUGGUGGUGACAACUGGCUUUUAGUUUUAUAACUCUACUUCUAAAAAAGUAUAAAAUAAUCUAGAAAGUUUUAAAAGGCAUUUUUCCGAGUUUGAAAUUACACUAUUAAAAAUUUACACUUUCAAACAUUUAUUUAUUUGGCAUUCUGAUUUUCAGGUAUAUCAUAUGCAUAAAUAUAGAUGUGUGUUUGUUUAUGUGUUUGGUAGUACAGACCUUCAGAUUUUGGAAUGAAUUCAAUAUCCUACUUUUAAAGUACUACUAACUAUACUAAUAAACUGCCAAGGUAGAUUGCACUAUUUCAUGCAUUCCUCCCCUGCCAUUGUGCACCUUGUAACAAAGAACAGAGAAGGCUCUUUAAUUGUAUAUUUCUGAGAACAAACACCAUUUGAGCAAUGUUUGUAGAUUUCCUAGUGUUGUUAAAUUAAUUGGCAAAAAAGUAUUACAAUUAAAAUAUUGACCUAAUUUUAAGAGAUUAGUAUAUUUUGUUAUUAUUCUUCAUCAGCUAUUUUUAAAUGACAUUUUAAAGUGAUGCAGAAUUGUUUAUAUUGUUAAGUGGAGGAAAUUUGUAUAAGUUUAAAUUUGGGACAAUGUGCUACUUCACAGUGAUGAUUAAUUAGCCUAAUGUUUUCUUAAAAAAUGUUAGGCUACCUGUUCAACUGUGUUUUGACUUCUAGCUAGUGGUUGAUCCUAGGCACUUGGAUAAAAAUUUGUAUCUAAGCCAAAGAGUAGAUGACAAAUUAUACACUUUGUAAUAUAAACUGUGGUCUUAAAUUCAUUUUUCUCUUGUCUACUUCUUUAGGACAAGCCUAAAUGUUUACAGCACUAACCACAUCACUGCAUUACUUGCUUAGAGCUACAUAUCAGUGGGUUCUUGUCUGAAGGAUUAGUGCUAAAAAAUGUAGCCAGCUUGUCACUUAAAAACACUUUUCAUUAUUAGUAAUGAAACAUUUAUUGAAUGACUGAAAGAAUGAUUAAUUCAUGGUUCUCUAUUGGGACAUACUUUUUUCACAGCAGCAGGUUAUUUUUGACAAUUUUCAAAUCUAAGAUCGAAAUAUCCUUCUAAAAUACACAUAGAAACUUAAAAUUCAAUGAUGUGAAAGAAUGUAAGUUUGUUUAAUGUCCUCUCGGAUGCACCAAAUAUUAUUCACAUUAAACUGUAUGUGUCAUACAUUGUAUCAACUGUUUGUAUUACAUGUGUAGUAAAUCAUAAUUUCCUUCUAAGUACUAUAAAGUCAAAUAGAGGCAUCAGCCUUCAACAAAUACCUUAAAUUCUUUGAGUU
rnacentral:lncRNA from 1 species